GAUGAACGCUGGCGGCGUGCCUAAUACAUGCAAGUCGAGCGAACAGACGAGGAGCUUGCUCCUCUGACGUUAGCGGCGGACGGGUGAGUAACACGUGGAUAACCUACCUAUAAGACUGGGAUAACUUCGGGAAACCGGAGCUAAUACCGGAUAAUAUAUUGAACCGCAUGGUUCAAUAGUGAAAGACGGUUUUGCUGUCACUUAUAGAUGGAUCCGCGCCGCAUUAGCUAGUUGGUAAGGUAACGGCUUACCAAGGCAACGAUGCGUAGCCGACCUGAGAGGGUGAUCGGCCACACUGGAACUGAGAUACGGUCCAGACUCCUACGGGAGGCAGCAGUAGGGAAUCUUCCGCAAUGGGCGAAAGCCUGACGGAGCAACGCCGCGUGAGUGAUGAAGGUCUUCGGAUCGUAAAACUCUGUUAUUAGGGAAGAACAAAUGUGUAAGUAACUAUGCACGUCUUGACGGUACCUAAUCAGAAAGCCACGGCUAGCUACGUG
rnacentral:rRNA from 1 species